GCGUCUUAAGCAUGCAAGUCAAACGGAAUGUAGCAAUACAUUUAGUGGCGAACGGGUGAGUAACGCGUGGAUGAUCUACCUAUGAGAUGGGGAUAACUACUAGAAAUAGUAGCUAAUACCGAAUAAGGUCAAUUAAUUUGUUAAUUGAUGAAAGGAAGCCUUUAAAGCUUCGCUUGUAGAUGAGUCUGCGUCUUAUUAGUUAGUUGGUGGGGUAAAUGCCUACCAAGACGAUGAUAAGUAACCGGCCUGAGAGGGUGAACGGUCACACUGGAACUGAGAUACGGUCCAGACUCCUACGGGAGGCAGCAGCUAAGAAUCUUCCGCAAUGGGCGAAAGCCUGACGGAGCGACACUGCGUGAAUGAAGAAGGUCGAAAGAUUGUAAAAUUCUUUUAUAAAUGAGGAAUAAGCUUUGUAGGAAAUGACAAAGCGAUGACGUUAAUUUAUGAAUAAGCCCCGGCUAAUUACGUGCCAGCAGCCGCGGUAAUACGUAAGGGGCGAGCGUUGUUCGGGAUUAUUGGGCGUAAAGGGUGAGUAGGCGGAUAUAUAAGUCUAUGCAUAAAAUACCACAGCUCAACUGUGGAGCUAUGUUGGAAACUAUAUGUCUAGAGUCUGAUAGAGGAAGUUAGAAUUCCUGGUGUAAGGGUGGAAUCUGUUGAUAUCAGGAAGAAUACCGGAGGCGAAGGCGAACUUCUGGGUCAAGACUGACGCUGAGUCACGAAAGCGUAGGUAGCAAACAGGAUUAGAUACCCUGGUAGUCUACGCUGUAAACGAUGCACACUUGGUGUUAACUAAAAGUUAGUACCGAAGCUAACGUG
rnacentral:rRNA from 1 species